GUCCACGCCCUAAACGAUGUCUACUAGUUGUCGGGGAUUCGUUUCCUUGGUAACGCAGCUAACGCGUGAAGUAGACCGCCUGGGGAGUACGGCCGCAAGGUUAAAACUCAAAGUAAUUGACGGGGACCCGCACAAGCGGUGGAUGAUGUGGAUUAAUUCGAUGCAACGCGAAAAACCUUACCUACGCUUGACAUGCCAGAAACCCCGCAGAGAUGUGGGGGUGCCCGAAAGGGAAUCUGGACACAGGUGCUGCAUGGCUGUCGU
rnacentral:rRNA from 1 species